rnacentral:misc_RNA from 1 species
UUUCCGUAGGUGAACCUGCGGAAGGAUCAUUAAAAAUGAAGCCGGGAAACCAGUCCUUCUAACCCUUGAUCAUCUUAAUUUGUUGCUUUGGUGGGCCGCGCGAGCACCGGCUUCGGCUGGAUCGUGCCCGCCAGAGGACACAACUCUGUAUCAAAUGUCGUCUGAGUACUAUAAAAUAGUUAAAACUUUCAACAACGGAUCUCUUGGUUCCG